rnacentral:rRNA from 1 species
GAUGAAUGCUGGCGGCGUGCCUAACACAUGCAAGUCGAGCGGCAGCGCGAGUAGUUUACUACUUGGCGGCGAGCGGCGGACGGCUGAGUAACGCGUGGGAACGUGCCCCAAAGUGAGGAAUAACUGCCCGAAAGGGUGGCUAAUGCCGCAUAUGAUCUUCGGAUUAAAGGAUUUAUCCGCUUUGGGAGCGGCCCGCGUUAGAUUAGGUAGUUGGUAGGGUAAUGGCCUACCAAGCCGACGAUCUAUAGCUGGUCUGAGAGGAUGAUCAGCCAGACUGGGACUGAGACACGGCCCAGACUCCUACGGGAGGCAGCAGUGAGGAAUCUUCCACAAUGGGCGAAAGCCUGAUGGAGCAACGCCGCGUGAAGGAUGAAGGCCCUCGGGUUGUAAACUUCUUUUAUAAGCGAAGAAUAUGACGGUAACUUAUGAAUAAGCACCGGCUAACUACGUGCCAGCCGCCGCAGUAACAC